rnacentral:rRNA from 1 species
GAUGAACGCUAGCGAUAGGCUUAACACAUGCAAGUCGAGGGGCAGCACGCUUUCGGGUGGUGGCGACCGGCGCACGGGUGAGUAACACGUAUGCAACCUACCCAUAACACGGGGAUAACCUGCGGAAACGCGGACUAAUACCCGAUAAGACAGGGACACCGCAUGGUGAUAUUUGUUAAAGAUUCAUUGGUUUUGGAUGGGCCUGCGUUGGAUUAGCUAGUUGGUAGGGUAACGGCCUACCAAGGCAACGAUCCAUAGGGGAACUGAGAGGUUUAUCCCCCACACUGGUACUGAGACACGGACCAGACUCCUACGGGAGGCAGCAGUGAGGAAUAUUGGUCAAUGGGCGAGAGCCUGAACCAGCCAAGUCGCGUGAAGGAAGACGGUAUUAUGUAUUGUAAACUUCUUUUAUAGGGGAAUAAAGUGCGGGAUGUAUCCUGUUUUGUAUGUACCCUGUGAAUAAGCAUCGGCUAACUCCGUGCCAGCAGCCGCGGUAAUACGGAGGAUGCGAGCGUUAUCCGGAUUUAUUGGGUUUAAAGGGUGCGUAGGUGGGCUGAUUAGUCAGCGGUGAAAUUCCCGGUGCUUAACAUNGGAAUUGCCGUUGAAAACUGUCAGUCUUGAGUUUGGCGUGGGUAUGCGGAAUUCGUAGUGUAGCGGUGAAAUGCAUAGAUAUUACGAAGAACACCGAUAGCGCAGGCAGCAUACCAUACCACAACUGACACUGAUGCACGAAAGUGUGGGUAUCAAACAGGAUUAGAUACCCUGGUAGUCCACACAGUAAACGAUGAAUACUAGGUGUUUGCGAUAUACCGUAAGCGCCCGAGCGAAAGCGUUAAGUAUUCCACCUGGGGAGUACGCCGGCAACGGUGAAACUCAAAGGAAUUGACGGGGGCCCGCACAAGCCGAGGAACAUGUGGUUUAAUUCGAUGAUACGCGAGGAACCUUACCCGGGCUCGAACGGCAGAUGAAUGAUCUGGAAACAGGCAGUCCUUCGGGACAUCUGUCGAGGUGCUGCAUGGUUGUCGUCAGCUCGUGCCGUGAGGUGUCGGCUUAAGUGCCAUAACGAGCGCAACCCUUACCGUCAGUUACCAUCGGAUUAUGCCGGGGACUUUGGCGGGACUGCCACCGUAAGGUGUGAGGAAGGUGGGGAUGACGUCAAAUCAGCACGGCCCUUACGUCCGGGGCUACACACGUGUUGCAAUGGAAGGGACAGCGGGGAGCUACACAGCGAUGUGAUGCGAAUCCCGAAACCCUUUCCCAGUUCGGAUCGGAGUCUGCAACCCGACUCCGUGAAGCUGGAUUCGCUAGUAAUCGCGCAUCAGCCAUGGCGCGGUGAAUACGUUCCCGGGCCUUGUACACACCGCCCGUCGAGCCAUGGAAGCCGGGGGUACCUGAAGUACGUAACCGCAAGGAUCGUCCUAGGGUAAAACCGGUAACUGGGGC